UGCCAUGGAGACCAUCUGGCAUGACAAGCUGUUGGCCGGUGUGAGGGCCCACCAUCACGCCAAGUCGAUGCUAACGAGGCGGAUGACGGACUAGGGAUUUCCUGGAUCAUCAUCACCAUCAUCAUCAUCACGGCUGCCUCGCUUAGGUGGAAGAGGAGGAGGCGCAGUCUCAUCAUGCACCCAGGAAGAGAUUCUCUGAGACCACCUCUGGCUGUUCACAUUGAUCCUAACUAAC